rnacentral:rRNA from 1 species
GAUCCUGGCUCAGGAUGAACGCUGGCGGCGUGCCUAACACAUGCAAGUCGAACGAGGUAUUUUGAUUGAAGUUUUUGGAUGGAUUUCAAGAUGCCGAGUGGCGGACGGGUGAGUAACGCGUGGGUAACCUGCCUCAUACAGGGGGAUAACGGUUAGAAAUGACUGCUAAUACCGCAUAAGCGCACAGUACCGCAUGGUACGGUGUGAAAAACUCCGGUGGUAUGAGAUGGACCCGCGU